rnacentral:rRNA from 1 species
GACGAACGCUGGCGGCGUGCUUAACACAUGCCAGUCGAACGGGUCUGCCCUGUUUUUUGCGGGGUGGGUCAGUGGCGAACGGGUGAGUAACACGUGAGUAACCUGCCCCUCACUUCUGGAUAACCGCUUGAAAGGGUGGCUAAUACGGGGUGUUCUGGCUGUGCCGCAUGGUGUGGCUGGGAAAGAUUCACUUUUGUGGUGUUUUGGUGGGGGAUGGGCUCGCGGCCUAUCAGCUUGUUGGUGGGGUUAUGGCCUGCCAAGGCUUUGACGGGUAGCCGGCCUGAGAGGGUGGGCGGUCACGCUGGGACUGAGGUACGGCCCAGACUCCUGCGGGAGGCAGCAGUGGGGGGUAUUGCACAAUGGGCGGAAGCCUGAUGCAGCGACGUCGCGUGAGGGAUGGAGGCCUUCGGGUUGUGAACCUCUUUCGCCGGUGAAGAAGGUCCUGCUCUUUGUGGUGGGGUUGACGGUAGCCGGGUUAUGAAGCGCCGGCUAACUACGUG